rnacentral:rRNA from 1 species
AGGACGAACGCUGGCGGCGUGCUUAACACAUGCAAGUCGAGCGGAAAGGCCCUUCGGGGUACUCGAGCGGCGAACGGGUGAGUAACACGUGAGUAACCUGCCCUGGACUUUGGGAUAACCCUCGGAAACGGGGGCUAAUACCGGAUAUGACCUGUCACUGCAUGGUGGUGGGUGGAAAGUUUUUCGGUCUGGGAUGGGCUCGCGGCCUAUCAGCUUGUUGGUGGGGUGAUGGCCUACCAAGACGACGACGGGUAGCCGGCCUGAGAGGGCGACCGGCCACACUGGGACUGAGACACGGCCCAGACUCCUACGGGAGGCAGCAGUGGGGAAUAUUGCACAAUGGGCGGAAGCCUGAUGCAGCGACGCCGCGUGAGGGAUGACGGCCUUCGGGUUGUAAACCUCUUUCAGCAGGGACGAAGCGAGAGUGACGGUACUGCAGAGAGCGCCGCACUACGUGCAGCAGCCGC